UCUAAAUCAACGUAUUAAUGAUAUAAAUAUGAUUGAAAAUCAAUUAUUAAUGGAAAAUCAGAAACACCUUUUUAAAUUUAGAGAAAACUUUUGCUUAAGUUUUUUUCCAUUGACAUUUCAGACCAAAGACAACUAAAAUUAUUGUGAAAGGGAAAAGUUUUUCUUUCCUCUGUUACUGCAUGCCAAUUUUCUUCUUCCUUCAUAUUUGGAUCCUCUUCCUCCUAUAAAACACAGAUACUCUCUCUUUCCACUCUCUGCAUUUAUUUCCUUGAGUUUCUCUUCCAAAUUUCUACAGACUACCUCCUCCGUCCUCAUGGCCUGCUCAGCCAACGAGUUGGCCCAGUUUUUCGGCCCCAACAUCACCAACUCCACUGCCGCUGCCGACUUCAUCUGUUCCCGCUUCACCAUCUUCGAUAACAACUACACCGCCACCAAAUAUGCCAUUGACAGUACCUACCUCCUAUUCUCUGCCUAUCUUGUAUUCUCCAUGCAGUUAGGUUUCGCCAUGCUCUGUGCAGGCUCUGUUCGCGCCAAAAACACCAUGAACAUCAUGCUCACCAACGUUCUUGACGCUGCUGCUGGCGGCCUUUUCUAUUACCUCUUCGGUUUCGCUUUUGCCUUCGGCACCGGUGGCUCAGAGAAUGGCUUUAUUGGCAAGCACCAUUUCGGUCUCAAGACCAUCCCAUCCAAUGAUUUGGACUACAGCAACUUUCUUUACCAGUGGGCGUUUGCUAUAGCCGCAGCUGGGAUUACUAGCGGCUCCAUCGCGGAAAGAACCCAAUUUGUGGCUUAUUUAAUAUAUUCCUCCUUUUUAACUGGGUUUGUUUACCCGGUUGUUUCUCACUGGUUCUGGUCUACCGAAGGGUGGGCUUCUGCUUUGAAAACUCACAAUCCCUUGUUUAAUAGUGGAGUCAUCGAUUUCGCUGGAUCUGGGGUAGUGCAUAUGGUGGGUGGUAUUGCUGGGUUAUGGGGCGCUGUCAUUGAAGGCCCAAGAAUAGGCCGUUUUGACCAUUCCGGCAGGGCCAUUUCCUUGCGUGGACACAGCGCUUCUCUGGUGGUUCUCGGUACUUUCUUGCUCUGGUUUGGAUGGUAUGGGUUCAAUCCUGGGUCUUUCAACAAAAUCUUGGUGGUUUACACCGAUGGGAGCUAUAAUGGUCAAUGGAGUGCAGUUGGUCGAACCGCCGUUACCACCACCCUAGCAGGUUGCACUGCAGCUUUGACCACUCUUUUUGGGAAAAGAAUUUUAUCUGGCCAUUGGAAUGUAACAGAUGUGUGCAAUGGCUUGCUUGGUGGUUUCGCUGCCAUUACUGCUGGGUGCUCCGUUGUUGAUCCAUGGGCUGCAAUAAUCUGCGGGUUCGUUGCUGCUUUGGUAUUAAUUGGCUGCAACAAGUUAGCUGAGAAGUUAAAAUAUGAUGACCCACUAGAGGCUGCCCAGCUUCACGGUGGUUGUGGCGCUUGGGGAGUGAUCUUCACCGCUUUGUUUGCCAGAAAGAAGUAUGUGGAUCAGAUUUACAAGCCGGGUCGACCUUACGGGUUGUUCAUGGGUGGUGAUGGAAGGCUCUUGGCUGCUCAUCUCAUACAGAUUCUUGUUAUCACGGGGUGGGUCAGUGCCACGAUGGGUCCACUGUUUUAUAUUCUUCACAAGCUUAAGCUUUUAAGAAUCUCAGCUGAUGAUGAGAUGGCGGGUAUGGAUCUGACCCGGCAUGGUGGGUUCGCUUACAUUUACCAUGAUGAAGAUGAGUUCUCAAAGCCUGGAAUCAAGUUAAGGAACAUUGAACCCUCAGCCACAACUUCUAAUUCAUCAGACGUUUAGAACU
rnacentral:misc_RNA from 1 species